ensembl:lncRNA
AAGAAAGAAAAAAAAGAAGAGAGGGAGAAAGAAGAAAAGAGAGAAAAAGACAAGGAAGAAAAAAGAAAGGGAAAGACAAGGAAAGAAAGGAAAAGGAAAGAAAAGAGAAAGAAAGGGAUAAAAGAAAGGAGGAUAACUUUAAAAACAAAUGGGAUCUGCUUAACUUAGUUACUAGGAAAAAAAGGUACAGAAACCAAGGUGAGCAUCAGUUUUAUUCAGACACAGUAUGAACAAAUGAUAUAACUUGUAGUAAUUAUAUAGAUGCUAACUAGAAGGACACCAUACACAAGAAAAUCAAAUUAUUCUUUUACUUAUCAAUUAGUGUUAGCUACUCUCCUCUUUCCUUCCAUCGUUGCAUCUCAAGACUUUGUUGUCCAGUAUUGACAGAGCACUGCCUAUUUCCCUUUCACAACGCCUUAUGCAACAACUCCAAAAAUCAGUUUGAUCAGUUUAAUGAUAUCUCUGCAUUUGCAGUGCAGUUCUUUCACCAUUUUUUUUACCCAACUGGAAUGAUCCAAAAGUACUAACCUACAAAUUCAGAAUGAAUCUUAAUAGAAGAGACACAAAAUGUCACAAACGAAAAUGUGGCACUGCAUCAAAAUCUAUUCUUCUAUUUCCAUAAGCCAGUGACAGCAUUUUGGCUGUGUAGAAGUUAACCUGCCCAUCUCUGGAGCCCCCAGAGAUGCUGCCUUAGUCAGCUGACACAAAGAGUAGCAUAAUUUGAAUUUUCCAUCCAGGAAACAAGCAAAAAAUAUUAUGAAAACACUUGAAGAGAGGAUAACACCAAAUUUAAUGUAUUGUUGUCUUCACUUCAGAAAUGAAAUAGCCCAAGGACAGAAAAUGACAAGUUAAACAUUCCCAGUAAACUUAUACACUUUUUUUUUUUUUUUUUUAUAAGAGUCAAGGCCUGAAGAGUUGAUUCAGAUUGUUCAGAUUCACAGUCCUGAAGGGGAAGGUAAAAGAUAUGUAUUUAUUCCAUGCAAGUACAAAAGAAUUUGGAUUUCUUCCUCUGAACAAUUUUGAUUCUUGUCUCCUCUAAAAGCAAAAAUGCUUUGGCAUUUGUGUACAGGGAGACUACUGCUUCUUCCUCCAGUAGACAAGAAGAAUUAGCAGUUUGAUGGUACCUCUAGUACAUCUUCAAGCUUUCAGAAGGGAGGAUUUCGGUGUUUUGCAGUCAUGAAGCUGGGAUGACACCACCUCCAGGAUCAUCAACUCGCCUCAUCCCUGCUGAGAACGUAACAGGGUCUUCUUAACCUCAUCAUGAACCACUGGCAGGGACUUCGUGAAGGUGACAAAGAUAAGACCAUUUAAAGCAAUUGAGCCUGGAAAGACUAUAGAUUUUUGCUUAGAUCCACUUCCUAUGUCCAGACUCAAGGCAACUGAACCAAUGUAAGAUUCAGUUUCAUCUAUUACAAAGUUAAAGAAUCUGCAAAAGAGAAAUCACUGAUCAUGAGCAGGGGUGUGAAAACCACAUUAUUCCUCUGAUCAAGAUUUUGUGAGGCUCAGAGGUGAGCGUUUUUAUUGGAUUUAUUAUAUGUCUGUGAAAUGAAAUCAAAGGAAAUCAACAACAAUCAAUGUGCCUUAUAGUAGUACUAUAGGUGAAAAUUACUCUACUCUUGGGGGCUUUUUAAGUCCAUUAAUUCAGGUUAAUUCUUUUGUAGCACACUGCCUGAAGAAAAGCCGUAUCUAUGCCUGUACAAUUUGCAGCUGAAUUAUGAUGCUAGAAAUGGGCUCCAAUAUUUGCUUGCAGGAGAGAUCACAUACUGGACAGAAGUUUGAAACCUCUAAGUCCAAAUUUUGGCAAUCCAUAUCUUCAGCAUAGGCAGGAUGCUAAGCCUGGGAAUAGCGUUUGCCUGCUCUUCACACCAACUGAGGGCCAAAUGUGGUUUCUUCAUGAGUUUACUUGGACCCAAAGAUACUUCCUAUCUUCAGUAGCUGAACUGAAGUUAUC